GAUCCCUUUAUGGACAUUCGAUAAAAUUGGAACGAUACAGACAAGAUCAACAUGGUCUCUGCCUGUGAUAGGAUGAUACGCAGAAACCGAGAAAUGGUACCAAGAAACUAUU
rfam:Solanum lycopersicum cultivar Heinz 1706 chromosome 5, whole genome shotgun sequence.